GAUCGGACUCUAAAUCGCUCAAGGUCACUCAACCUAAAUCAAGCUUGACCGGAUUGUAAAUCGCUGAAUGUUUGAUCGGAGUUUAAAUAGAACAGAUUGUUCACUCGCACAAAUCGAUCAACCGCAUUCUAAAUCUCUCAAAUCAGAAGGUUUAAGCAGUUUAGCGGGCUGUAUUGUAAGCAGAGUUCAUAAGACUGUUUAUCACACAAUCUUGGAAAGAAGGAUCAAUUUGAUUUGAACAGGAAACUAUUUUGCCUUCGGGAUUAUGAGCAGCAGCAAGACUGGAACAGCAGCCCAGGUGGGACAAAGUGAAUCACAGCCUGUCACAGUUUGUCACAAGCAGCAGCAGCAAGUGAUUUUUUUUCUGUCGAUUAGCAAGUUUGAGGACUGGAACAGAAGCUAUCUGGACAGGUUUCUAACAAAUGUACAUGUUGAUUGCUGUUGGAAUCAUAGACUCUGUGGAUUUCUGCAGCUGCAUUACCAGACCCAUCUGCAGUUGUUUGCUCUUACUAUUUCUUCAAGAAUUUGAGGCUUGAGUAAACUGUUUUAAACAGAUUUGGAGCAGAUUUGAUUUGGUUUUUUAGUUUUGAUUUAUUGUCUUUUGGUUGAGUUUGAGCACUGGAGCAGACGUUUGCUGUCAUUCAAGACGAAGCACAAUCAUAAACUGCUAGAGGAAGCUGCACAGAUACUUAUUAUUGGGUGUGAAUCGAGUUGUAAUAGCAAGCACUACAGCAGGUUUAGUAGCAGCAUUUCAACGACCGGAAGCCUAUUGAAGAUAACUGGGUUUGGGUUUGGACAAGAAUCUUUACUCAUAAUUCGAAGCACACCUGGCACAAUAUUUUUUGGACGAUUGAAUUGGGCUUGAAUCAGUUUGUUUUG